UACAACAAUACACUGGGUUAUUUAGAGUAGAAAAGCAGAGACCAUUUCUUGUUUGCCCAAAGCUAAUGGUAGGAUAAAGUACAACUAAAAGUAAGCAAGCUAAGAAAAGAUACUGGCACAAAAAUCAGUGUAGAACCCUAAACAGCAAAGUCUGAGUCACUGUAAAGACUUACAACAUGCACAUCAGGGCGAGGUAACAUCACCUCAUUCAUUAUCAGAUGCCACACCAUAAACAGUGCGGCUCCAUGUUCACCUUGUCGACUGUUCCCACACCAGAGCCACAUGCCACUUCUGCCUCUCCGUAGUCAAGGCUCAAGGCCCAUAUGCACAGCCAGUGCCUGGCUAGCCAACAUUUAAAACUCACACUGUGUCACAUACUUUCAUGCUGGACAGGAGAAUU